CACGUAGGGUGCGAGCGUUGUCCGGAAUUAUUGGGCGUAAAGGGUUGGUAGGUGGUCUUGUUUGUCUAAGGUGAAAUCCCAGGGCUUAACCCUGGAAGUGCCUUAGAAACGGCAAGACUAGAGUCCUAGAGGGGUUUGUGGAAUUCCCGGUGUAGCGGUGAAAUGCGUAGAGAUCGGGAGGAACACCAGCGGCGAAGGCGGCAAACUGGAUAGGCACUGACACUCAACAACGAAAGCGUGGGGAGCAAACAGG
rnacentral:rRNA from 1 species